GAUCAUGUGAUUUAAGCAAUAGAGCAAUAAAUAGAACAGAAAAUAAAAGCUCCUAUAGCUUUAUCGGGGGGAAAAAUACUAAAGAAACUGGUUUCAAAGAUGUAUUUCUCUUCAUGUGUAACUAGAGAAAGAAAGAUGGUUAAAGGUAUAGAGAAAUUGAAUAGGUUCAUUUGACCAAAAAAAUUUAAUCAUAUUUUAUAUAACCUAAAGCUCAAAUACAGUAUACCAUGUGAAAGUGACUGAUGCACAGGAAAUAUUGGCUGUCUUCGAUAAGAUUAUCCAUUACAGCAUUCUUCAUAUUGAAUUCCUGCCCCUUCAUUAUGAUUCUGCAUUUUCUUCACUUCAAUGAAAAAUGUGUCUUUAUUUACGGAAAAACAUGAUUUUGUAUUCAGUGUAUGUACUAUGUAUCCUUCACUAGAUACUAGAUAUGCAAAAGUAAAAUAUGCUUUCUUCUUUUAGGAAAUUAUGAGUGAAAGAGUCAGGAACAAUGGAAAAAAAUCAUACAGUGAAUGAACUGCUGGGGUCAUGUGCAAGCAUGAAAGGCACAAUGAAACAAGGUGAAGCCAAUACCAUCUGUUCAUGGGCAGCAGAGUUCAAGGAUUGGGGCAAUCAAUAUCCAGCUUCUGAAAGAAAUUGCAGAUUUAAUGAGACACAAAUAAAAACAGAUAAUUGUGGCUGUGGAUCUGAGAGAUAAGGUGUGGAGUCCAUGCAUGACUGAACAGGAAAAAAGGGCUGCUUUCCUGUGGCACAUUACAGGACUGCCAGGCAAGUGUGAUUAAGGCAAUUUACACGUGAAAUUCGAUCAUGAAUAAAAGGAUUCCCCCUUUUCCAUGCAUGUUACUUGAGGGAAAUUUGUGAGUGGUCUUAAUUAAAAAUAACUGGUAGCUGACUGGCAAUUGGGCAUUAGGUUGGAAACCGGCAGCCGCUAACAGGAGAGGAGAUGGAGAAUUAAUGACAAGUGAAAGCUUUGUCAGAAAAAAGAAUUAGGUUCUGGCUGUCAGUCAUCCAUCCUGUGCCUCCACAAUCAGCAAUUCUCCUGAGGAUGCAGG
rnacentral:lncRNA from 9 species